UUGGAUGACUAUUCAGUGAUUCAAUUUUA
rnacentral:piRNA from 1 species